CCGCAUGGGAGACGAAAGGUCUGCAUUAAAUUGUUAUUUGUUGUGAGAAGCCGGUGUGCAACUUUGUUGUUUUCUCAUCAGAAAAAUCAAUAUAGAAAAUUAUGGGCAACACUCUGUCGAAGUCGCCACCAACUGCUCUUAGCUAGGGAACUACACUGCAUGCGCAUAACAUUGGGUCUAAAUCAAAAGAAGUCGGAUACCCUGUCGGCUACAUAGUCAUCAUGAGCAACAAGUUAAUCGGGAACAUAGAUCACGGUUGUUUGACGAAUUUUGGAUUAUUCCUCGUUAGCUGUCGCCCCGACCCGUUUUACCGCAAUUUUACUAGCAAAUUGAAAACAUUCAGCGUUCCCUGUCAUACAUGGAUAACUUUGCGCUGGGUAUACAAGCAUCCUGCUGUUAACGCCUUCGCCAUAAGCUGUCGGUCUGCUGUUUUAUAGCACCUUUCAAACGUCACUACAGACUAAAUCUCAGAAUCCAACCAAAUUCGCGUUACUAAAAUCUUCUUGUCUCACUUUACAUUGUCGCAAAGUAUUUUGGCUCUACGUGACGCGAAUGUUAGAGCAAACUAAUUUUUAUUGUUGAGAACUGCGAAGUCACGUUAGGCUCCGACGAAGCGCUAGCUCUCGCCCCACGUGACAUAUCCUCCGACCGCGCCGACCUUCGAGAGAGCACAAAGGAGGGAGGAGACGUCUCUCCCAUUUCCCCCUCUUUCCAUCAGCGUCACGUGACCCUACCCUAAAGGAGGCCUCGUUGCAAGGAGUCGAGGGUUCACUCCAAAACAUGACGUCACUGAAAUUUGUGGGCAAGGCAUGUUGUCACCUGCUCCACGCGUCAUCGACCCUCGCGCGGAAGUCAGCUCACCGGCUGUGCAGUUCUUUGUGACUUGUGCCUUCGAGAGAUGUGGCCUCCGGUGAACUGAGUAAAAGCUGAGUAAAAGGCUGUUUCAGUGAUAUGUUUUUCUUUAUUUCCGUGUUAGCGCCGCGAAGCUACUGUGGCUACGAGCGGCGUACAGACGUAGACAGAUGGAGUGAGGACAACGGGAAGGAGUGGGGGACAGAGGGAUAGUGUGCGUCCUGGGCCGACUUCAAGGGGAACUGUGCAGACAUUCGUCCGGAAAGUCUUCAGGAAGCCGAGGGAAAAACCUCAGACAGCACAGCCGGUGACAGGAUUCGAACCCGGGUCCCCUCCCAGUCUCGGCGUGGAAAGCGCUCAUCCUAACCACUAUGCCACGGCGCAGUUGGGUUGGAUGUAAUAAACCUUGGUGUCUUCUGAUACCCCUCAGAGGACAGGUUCCUUCUAAGUCAUGCACAAGGUUGACGUCCUGCUUGUUCCGCUGCAAGACGUGACCCACGAUGAAAUUGGUUCUGGUUGUGCUGCUCAUGGCAACCUUUUUGACGAUCUUAAGCACCGUUGAGGGAAGGCAGUGGCUUCAGAAAGAAGCAAUAACCACAUUCGGGUGAAGAGAACGUGCAACUUUGGCACCUGCGCAGGGGAGAAUUUGGCUGCCACCAUGGCAACCCUUUUCAUUCCAGGAAGAGGCACGGCUCCUCCUAGGAAAAUAGGCGCUUUCGGCUACGGCCGAAGGAAGAGAAGGUCCCUUCAAGAAAAGAGAAAUCUUCUGUCACUGCUCGCUGGAAGAAAGGUGGCACCUUGAU